AUCUCUCAGUCACUCGCUCAACCUCGACCAUCCCUCGCACAAUCUUGAGCGACCAAUGCAACGGUCGCCCUCUCCUCACGCAGCUGACGCGCCGACUCGGCGACUGGGACCCGCUGGGGCGUAUCCAUAUUCGUCAUGUCCAUCAUAACUUCGCGAUGUAUCGCCUCGAAAUCAGAAGGCAGGGUCGAGUUGACGACUCGCACAGGGCUCGACUCAGUUGCCACCGCCUUCCCUUUCUGUUCCUUGGAGAGCCUACCGCCCGACGACAUGACGAGUUUCCAGAAAUCUACAACUAAAAAGGGCUAGAGAGAGAAGCAGAGAGAAAGAGAGAGAAAGUACCUGAGUCGGAUGAAGAAUGAAGAGAAUGAGAGGCGAGAGGGGUAUUUAUAGGGAGGAAGCGCUGCACGCCCCGAUGCGUCAUCAUUAGGCCUAGAUGGGCACAUUUAGGCGCAUGGAGUUCACAUCGUCUUGUGACGGUUCGACUUCUCGAGGUAAACCGAGACCGGUUUAGACCAAGACUAGCGGCCUUGAUUAAAACCAAAGAAAACCGCCGGUUCAGACCAAACCGUUGAAAUCACGAAUCGCGAGCAAGCAAGUCGCGCAUAAGGUCGAAGAGUCGAGCGAGAUCACGAGUCCAGAACAAUUAUCUUGCAGACCCUACUUCCAAAUUCGCUGAGUCGGCUACGCUACUCACCAGCGAACUGGGGGGACUUACUCUUGGUAUGGGCCUGACCCUCCCAAAAGGCCCAAAAGAUAAUUGUCCUAACACAUGACCACAAUGGAGAGAUUCGGUUCGUCGACUUGCGAGCCAGCGAUCGGCUCGACUCUAGACUGCUGUUAGCCGACGAAGCGAGCGACCGGAAGUCGUCGGCUCGACGACUCGAAGCAGCGGCCCGACAUCUCGGUCCAAUCGACGAAAAGGCCCAUUAGGUCAAGGAGAGCUAGGUUAACGCAUGACCGCUUCUAAAAGGAGAGGGAGAGGCAGCAAGGAAGGGAUCCGCAAAUCACUACACACUUACUUUCGGCUAGAAACUAGGGUUUGAUUUCUCUAUUAUCGUCGACUUGUAUCCUCCGGCGAACCAGCUUUCGCCGGUUCAUUUCCUUGUUUCUCUUCUCUUUGUAACACGACUAAGCAGUCUCUUGAUCUAAUAAAACGCCUUUGUUUUGGCCCACCGACGAGUCCUCGUCUCUUUCAUUCACUAGUUUGUUGACAAGUUCUCAGUUCAAACAAUGGCCAUUCUCUUUUUUGGAUACUUUAGUCUGUCCAUGGGCUCUGGGCUCAUAUUUUCCUCUAGAAAUUUCUGUUUGGCCCAUUUUCUUAUAGGGUUUCUGAGUUUAGCCGUCGAGAUUCUUCUUCUCCUCCAUCCUGUUCCUCUUACUCUUCCACAGUCGGAAACUUCAUCUCUGUAACGUAUUCCGUUUCUUUCUUUAGUCUCAUCAUUUACUUCUCCCCACUACUCAUCCCACUCUCUAUGAACUAAACAUCAUCAUUAUCAUCAGCGGUAACUGCUUCAAGCUCUGCACUAUAAAUACCUUCUUUUGCUUCGAUGAAGAGCCACAGUUCACUGAAAUCUCUGACUAAAACCUUUAUCAAAGUUUGAUAUCAGAAAUGGCUUCCUACACGCCGCUUGCUAACUUGAGAACCGGUCGCUGUUCCAACACCGCUGAGGUCCGGCUACUGAGGUUUUGGGAGGCUCAGAAUAUCAGGAAAGGUGGGGAACUGAUGAGUCUCGACAUGCUUCUCUUGGAUGAGCAGUCGACGCUUAUCCAAGGAACAGUCAAUGCGGCUCGACUCGACACGUAUCGAGAACUUUUUGUUGAAGGAUCUGUGUACUCGCUUAGUGGUUUCGACGUUACACGUAGCGACAACAAGUUUCGUCUCUCUGAUGCCCCUGUCUCCAUUCGAUUCACUGAUGGUACAGUCUGAUGAGUUAACAGAGUUUGAUAAGUCGAUACCAACUGAGAUGUUUCGAUUCCAAAGCUACGACCAGCUAUUGGCACUGGCAGAUACCAAUAGACAGCUACCAGAUAUACUUGGAGUUAAGUGCUAUCAGGAGCACCAUCAAUAAUGGAACCCAGGGUUCGUAGCGUGUCAUGCUUACACUACGUAUACAAAGGAACGUCAAUGUGUGUGUUAGCCUGUUUGACGGUUUAGCUUUCGCAUUUGCUGAGAAGAUGACAAGAAACGGUCGUGAGCCAAAAGUUGUCUUGAUCACUAGCAUCAAUCCCAAGGUUGUUGGAGGUCGAUUAUUCCUCAAUGGGACUUCUGGGACCCACAUCUACUUUGACUCACAGCUGCAGGCAAAGAACGCUAUACACAGUUGUUUGGAGAUGGCUCAAAUCAAAUAUCAUCUUCAUCGAAGCUGAUUCAUGCUCAGAAGAUAGUACCCCUAACUGUCUCUGAACUUAACCAAUAUGUCCUCUCAGCUGACCCUCAGGUGAUCGAGUUCCUUUGUACUGCCAAAGUAACUGGCAUCCAGUUUGAGGAAGAAUAUAUUGGUUGCGCAAGCUGUUCUAAGAAGCUCGUGAAAGAGGUCUCAGCCUUCACAUGCCUCUCUUGUGAUUAAAAAAAGCGCUGUCGCCUCACUCAGGUACCGUGUGGAGCUAUCUGUGGCAGACAAUACUGGGGAUGCAGUAUUUGUUGCUUUUGAUUUGGAUAUGGCUAAACUAACCAACAUUCCUGCUGCUGAAGCUGCGGAAGUUAUAGUAGGCUGUCCUCUCACCCAUUUAGAAUUACAAUAUAAUUUAUCUCCCGUAUAUUUUCAGUGGCUCAGCGUGCAUCACUUUCCAGAUUAAGUUAGGAGAGUUCAACUUCACUUUUAAGCAUCAAACCUUCACUAUCUCCCGUAUAUUUUCAGUGGCUCAGCGUGCACCACUCCCAGACUUUGUGGGCGAUGUGAUUUUCAUAGACUUUCAAACUGAUCUGCUAUCUAUUUAUAAUAUGACUUAAGUUAUUUGCUGGGUUUUGAUCAGGGUGCUCAACAUGAUCCGAAUGAUGGGUUGCAGGUCCAGAAUCCAAUCUCAAGUUUGGUGCCGGUUUGUAACAGUAGCACUAUUGUUGAGACCUCUGGUGGCAUGGCAGCUGAACUUGGUGCAAGUACAGAUAAGGAAGAUCAAACUUCGUCAUCUGCUGCACCAGUAGAAGGGCCUUCUGCAACAAGCACACCACCUGUUGAAGCAGAAGAGAGUAAGAAUAAGAAGCCACGAUUGGCAUAGAGUCAGCUGAGUGUCGCACCCACCACCGCAUUUACUUUUCUUUUUAAAAUCUUUGUUUUCAUUUGCUUUCUGUCUUUUUGUUUCCAACUUCGUAUUUUAGACUCCAUGUGGUGGUGCAUGUUUUACUUAUGAAUCCAAGUUCUUCUCUUAUUACAAAUUCUUGGCUCCAA